rnacentral:lncRNA from 11 species
CUGAUCUCCCAGAGAGCUAGUUCAGCACACUUACCACUGCAUUGCCAUGACUCCACAGACAUUUCCUUCCACUGUUUGGCACACUUCCCAUUGGGAUGGACACCAUAAGCUGAUCAGUUGCAGGAUUGACCUCACACUGGGCAAGGUCACUCUGGAUGACAAAUAGAAGAUCUAGAGAUCUGAAUGCCUGGAAAAACCUAG